GUUACAAACAAAAACAUGAAUACAUUUUUUCAAACCAACAAGAACAAAAGAAGAACAAACAAUAAUCGGAUAAGGGCUGGGUUUUGAUAAACGAAUUGAUACACACUCUAAAUGGUUUCGAAAUUAAAACAUAUAAAAAUCAGGACACGGAUAUGGCUAUAAAAUCGUCUCGGCUGUGAGUCUCUACUAGCAUUACACAUUUGUACAUUCGUAUUACAUGUACACCUUUUUGAACAGGAAACUCUUUCUUCUCUUUGCAAGAGUAUACAGAAUGAAAGAGUGAAGAGCUUCCCACACCUAUUACCUGUUUAAUGCAACGUUCUGCCACCCACGAGGCCACCCAUCAAUUGCCAGAACCCACCAAAAAAUGGCCGCUGGCUGUUGGUCAAUGCGGCCGGCCAGCAGGUUGGUCGUCGCUAUAGCUUUAUGUUAUAUUUCUCCCUCGCCUUACGUAUGUAUUUGUGGGAUUUACUUUGUUUGUACAUAUGUAUGUAUCUGUGUGAGCUGAUUUUUUUCUAGUACCCUUUUUUGGGAGAUUUUGUUUGUGGCUGCUUUGUUUUCGCUUCGUGUCCCUUUUUUGCGCUUACGCCAUUCUCGUUUAUUUAUUAGCAAUUUUAUUAGCUAUGAAUUUGUUUGUUUUUAUCGCACACCUCACCACAGUACAGCCGCAGAAGAAGCGGUGGAAGGGAAAGGAACAGAGAAUGGGACGAAGAGGUGAAAGCAAGUAGAUGGAAUGAACAAAAACAAGGCCAGAGAAAGAAGAACAAACAACUAGCGCUUAAGCUAACUUACACCGCACCGAGCAAGAGAAAUCAUCUACAAAUCAAUUUAUUUUUAGAAGUUGGAAAAUGAGAAAUGGAAUGGUUAAAUGAUUUGGGACUUCGUUUUAUUUUGGAUAUCAAAAGAAUAUUAAAAG
rnacentral:lncRNA from 1 species